AUUGAAGGGGUCUAUGAUCGAAUUUGAAGACUUGAAGUUCAUAAAAUUUGACUACAAUGAUUGGAAUUGCAGUCUUCAUUCCUUGCAAGUCGUUUCUUCACAAUAAUUUGAUAAAGAUAGUAAUAGAUCCAUUAGUCUUGAUGAGAUGAGGAAUGGAAUCAAAUUAUUAAUAAAAGGGUCACAACUGGAUAACUUACAUUUUAAUUUCAAGUUUACAAUGUUGAUGGUGAUGGUGCUAUUGACUAUGAUGAGUUGAACCAAGGCCUUGAAAGUUUAUCAAAUAUUGAUGAAGAAAUUUUAGAGACAAACAAAAUGCAUUUUUACAUGUAAUACCAGUUCUGCAAAACUUUGUCGGGAUAAAAAAAUUUUGGAGAGAUUUUGGCCUUCCUGGUUGCCAUGUAAACAUGUCAGAAAUGAUUGGUUGUAUUUCAUCUUUUUGUUUGUGUUCUUCAAAAUUAAUAUUUUACUGUUUGUAGACGCAGCAAUCAGAUACAAAAAAUCAACAUUUUAAUAUCAAUAGCCAGAGAUGCUGGUACUUGUCUCAUCAAGUAGUUGUCCUUAUACUAAUAUAUUGACACUCAUUCGAUCAGCAAGACUGUCUAUUUGACAAAUUAACU